rnacentral:sRNA from 1 species
GCAAGUGGAAGUUCAGCUAAAACUGGCACGUCCUGUGCCAACGCUGAACUGACCCACAUCCUGUGGA